GAUUCCGUAGUCUAGUCGGUUUAUGGCAUCUGUCUAACACACAGAAGGUCCCCGGUUCGAGCCCGGGCGGAAUCA
rfam:Torrubiella hemipterigena genome assembly, contig: SCAF1